rnacentral:rRNA from 1 species
GGCAACAGCUCAAAUUUGAAAUCUGAUCUCUUCGAGGUCCGAGUUGUAAUUUGUAGAGGGCGCUUUGGUGUUGGCUGCGGUCUAAGUUCCUUGGAACAGGACGUCAUAGAGGGUGAGAAUCCCGUCUGUGGUCGCAUGUCUUCACCGUGUAAAGCCCCUUCGACGAGUCGAGUUGUUUGGGAAUGCAGCUCUAAAUGGGAGGUAAAUUUCUUCUAAAGCUAAAUACUGGCCAGAGACCGAUAGCGCACAAGUAGAGUGAUCGAAAGAUGAAAAGCACUUUGGAAAGAGAGUCAAAAAGCACGUGAAAUUGUUGAAAGGGAAGCGCUUGCAGCCAGACUUGCUUGCAGUUGCUCAUCCGGGCGUUCGCCCGGUGCACUCUUCUGUAGGCAGGCCAGCAUCAGUUUGGGCGGUUGGAUAAAGGCCUCUAUCAUGUAUCUUCUCCGGAAGACCUUAUAGAGGAGGCGUAAUGCAACCAGCCUGGACUGAGGUCCGCGCAUCUGCUAGGAUGCUGGCGUAAUGGCUGUAAGCGGCCCGU